CUUGAACGCUGGCGGCAGGCCUAACACAUGCAAGUCGAACGAGUGGCGGACGGGUGAGUAAUGUCUGGGAAAAUGCCCGCAGUAGGGGGAUAACUAAUUGAAACGGUAGCUAAUACCGCAUACCCUCGGGUAUGCCCAGAUGGGAUUAGCUAGUGGGUGGGGUAAUGGCUCACCUAGGCGACGCUCCCUAGCUGGUCUGCGAGGAUGACCAGCCACACUGGAACUGAGACACGGUCCAGACUCCUACGGGAGGCAGCAGUGGGGAAUAUUGCACAAUGGGCGCAAGCCUGAUGCAGCCAUGCCGCGUGUAUGAAGAAGGCCUUCGGGUUGUAAAGUACUUUCAGCGAGGAGGCGUUACUCGCAGAAGAAGCACCGGCUAACUCCGUGCCAGCAGCCGCGGUAAUAC
rnacentral:rRNA from 1 species